AUUCCCUACCUGAAGCUAAGAAGUUAAGUGCAGUUUUCAAAGCGCAAACAUUCGAAUCGAUAAUCUUGUGUGUGAAUUUUUCGAAAGUUUUUAGCACGAGACGUUAUGAGUACGAACACUACGGAAUUGGCAAUAUCGCCAGAAUUAUGGAAACAAGGCAAAAGUCCGCUACUCGAUUCAUGGCUGUUGUACAGAAAUCCGUUAUACGUUUCACUGAUUUUAGUUGCAUACCUCGCGUUUGUACUAUAUCUGGGACCGAAAUUCAUGGAGAAGCGGGAGCCGUACAAUCUAAAAAUUAUCCUCAUUUUGUGCAAUGUAGUGAAAGUGCUCUACAAUUUGUAUGUCCUGGUAUGGUCAUCUCUUCAACCAAAUGCUUUGAAAUAUUUUUUAAAUUUCGGUUGUGUAGAAACAGAUGAACAACAAGAGCAUGACUUUCAAACAACAAUGUGUGUGAUAAUUUGGCAUAUGACAGUUAUUAAAAUAAUGGACCUGCUGGAUACGGUUUUCUUUGUCUUACGCAAAACCAAAAACCGCAUCACUUUCCUCCACUUACAGCAUCAUAUUUUAAGUCUGACGAUAUUGUGGAUACUUGGAAAAUAUUUCAUCGGGCAAGAAUUGGCAAUAGCAUUCGUUUGUAACACGAUUGUCCAUUCGAUUAUGUACUUUUAUUAUUUGAUUGCUGCGCUGGGUCCUGCAUACAAAAAAUAUCUUUGGUGGAAGAAAUACGUGACAAUUAUUCAAAUUGGUCAGUUUCUGAUUAUGAUUGCCUAUAUGUUAGCAUCGUUAUGGUUAAGUUGUGGAUACAAUCCUGUAAUUGUUUCGGUUCUUAUUCUUAAUGCUUCCCUGAAUUUUGUUUUGUUCGUGAAAUUUUACUUUGCUGCGUACCAUUCAAAAAAGGAUAGAAAUUGCGGUCGAGGUACUUAUACGAAAGAUAAUCAAAACGCUUAGUGAAAAUUGUAAAAAGAAAAAAUAAAAAAGAUGAAAGCGGUACCAACGGUUUUUCUGUCUGAUACAAAAAAUGUUUGUAAAAAUAAGAGUAAGGUGUUACAAAUAAGAAAAUACACAAAAAAUAUUGAAAUAUUAUAAGCAAAUCAUAUUUGGUGGUUGUUGCAGGCUGCAAAAAAGAUGUGAAUAAAUUUGU